GGGUUGUAAAGUUCUGCAAAGUCUUUUAUUCUCAUUGUUGUUUAGUUUGUAAAUGCAUUUGCAUACCGAGUGCGCCGAAUCGGUUGAAUUUGCCGUUUGAUAGUUUURUAGAGGACUAACUUGUUGGAACCCUGUAAAACUUUAUGACGGAUGAAUUUGGCUGUCAAAUUGAGUUGGUUUUUCGUGAUAAUAGUUGUGAAUUGGAGUUGUUUUUGUACGAUGCAUGCGUUUUGCAGUUAUGGYUUUARUUCACRUCUCUUAUUGCUCUGCUCUUUAUUCGGUGUUUAGUCAAUCACCUACCUGACCCGUCUUGAAACACGGACCAAGGAGUUUAAGGUGUACGCAAGUCAUUGAUYGUUUAAAGUCAUAGGCGUAAUGAAARUGGGACACUUGGUGUCUGUGAUGUGAGCUUUUUUUGUUUCKACGAACUAARCGCAACAUCGACCCMUGACUAKGGCUUGCUCUGUUGUGGAGUCUGAGCGUACGCUUUGAG
rnacentral:rRNA from 1 species